GUCUGUUGCGCAACUGCCGCCCACCCCCAUUCCAAUGGUGGCUUAGCUUUGCGACAAAGCUGUGGGGCUGCAGCCACAUCGGACUUGUAGCCUCCGACCUCUGACCUCAGGCCCGCCCGGGCGCUGAUACCCGGAAGUGAAUGGGAGCCGUCCUGCUGGGAAAGGAAUCCUCACCCUUGCAAACUGUUUACCUCACGUUUAUCCCCGUACGUUCGUCCAAGCCUAAUACAAACUGUGACCGGGAAUUUAUGAUUGAUCACUGUGGGGGAGGCAGAACCUCCCAGGAACCUGGAUGGAAUCCGACCCGGAAGUCGCAACAACACGGACAGACUGUCCCAGCUCAAGCUGACCACGGCCAGCCCAGGCCACCCCGUGCGCCUCUGGGGAACCCUCGGACUCCACUGUCCUCUCCUCUUUCCCUUCUCAGCCUGCUCCCAGUCCGGACUCCUGACUGAGCCGCAAGUCACCUUCCUACCGUGCGACGUUACUCCCUUUGCGAUCCUUAUGACCCGCCCUCAAAGCCACACUGCCUUCUGUGUGUGCUUCGGGAGAAAUAGGUCGCACGCUAUAAUUCAUGACGCUGCCUGCCUCUCGCUUGGAGCCCAGAUUAUAUAUUUCCAUUAAAGAAAGUUGGGGGAAAUUGUGAGCCACUGGAAAGAAGGUGGUCAUUUUUAGCCUGUCAGCCCAGUUUGGACUGGCAUUGGUUACCAAAACAAGGAUGACAGAGCUUCAUUAUCACCCUUGUCUCAAAUUCUUGAAGAUCCUGAAGGUAUUUUUCAGCGCCUGCUUCCACUUUCCUCAGGCAAAGAAAACUUUGAAGGAAGCAUGCUAGUCUUAUUUGAGACUGUCCUCAGCCUUUGGUGCCCAGUUACCUGUUGAUCCCUUCAAGCUUCAGGCCUCGUACCUCCAGGGAACUGUGUUGUUCCAUCUGAAGGUCUGUCUACAGGAAGAUUUGGAUUUGCUGUCCAGAUUGAAACACGGUUAGCUUCUCCUCGGGUCCUUGUUCAACUCCCCACUGGCUGGGACAAGUGGCACCUGAUGUGGGUGCCCAAGGUACGAAGUGUGACCUGGGCGUCGUUCGAGUGGAUGGCUGUCCUCACCAUUGGAUCGCCACCCCACCAGGGUGAGUGAAGAUCCGCAUAGAUCACUACAGGCAAUACACCUGUAAAACAGAUCUGCUCCAUGGUCACCACAUAAGAAACCCGCCUGUGAUACAGACCCGCUAAGAUUGAAGCCAUUAAGAUGCAGCCUUUACAGGUCCAUUAUCACAGACUGGAGCUGGU